rnacentral:lncRNA from 1 species
GCUUCCCGGCUGCUUUGUUUACCUAAGCAAGCCUGAGCAAUGGCGGGCGCCCCUCCCCCAGCCUCGCUGCCGCCUUGCAGUUUGAUCUCAGACUGCUGUGCUAGCAAUCAGCAAGACUCCGUGGGCGUAGGACCCUCCAAGCCAGGUGUGGGACAUAACCUUGUGGUGCGCCGUUUUUUAAGCCGGUCUGAAACGUGCAAUAUUCGGGUGGGAGUGACCCGAUUUUCCAGGUGCGUCCAUCACCCCUUUCUUUGACUCGGAAAGGGAACUCCCUGACCCCUUGCGCUUCCCAGGUGAGGCAAUGCCUCGCCCUGCUUCGGCUCGCGCACGGUGCUUGCACCCACUGGCCUGCGCCCACUGUCUGGCACUCCCUAGUGAGAUGAACCCGGUACCUCAGAUGGAAAUGCAGAAAUCACCCGUCUUCUGUGUCGCUCACGCUGGGAGCUGUAGACCGGAGCUGUUCCUAUUCGGCCAUCUUGGCUCCUCCCCGGCAUAGUCUUGAAGCUCCCUGCCUAGAGGCUGUCUUUUCCAGGAGCUAUACCUCUGCUUCACACAGGUCACUGGGUAAUAGGAUGUAAAGAGGAGUUCUCAAAACAACCUCACAGACCCAGAAUAAUCAAAACAAUUGAAGACUUAACUUCAAUUUCAAAACUUACCACAGAGCAAGAGUAAUCAAGACAGUAUGGUACUUCCCUAAGGACAAACAUAUAUGAAUGAAAGAGAAACCAGAUUUUGGAAAUUUUAAAGAGUGUCAAGACCAUUCAGCAAGGAAUGAAUAGUCUUUUCAACAAAUUGUGAGACAAUAGAUAUUCACAUGCAAAAAAUGUACCUGGACUCCUACCUCACGCCAUAUAAAAAUAUUAACUCAAAAUGGAUUAUAGGGAGGAAGUGGAGGAAGAUGACCAGAAAAAACCUUCCAGUGAUUAUCCCUAACUUGCCCUGCAGGAAGACCAAAUUGAACAACUAUCCACAAAGGAAAGCACCAUCAUAUGAGGCAAAAAUCAGAUAUGUCCUGAGAGUUUCUGAAGUUAUUUAACUGGUUCAAUGAGAAUUUAAUCAAGGUCUGCUUUAUAUCAAAAUUUAUGAUUUUUAUUCAAUGCCAUACAUAGAAUUUGUUCACAGUUAUCAUCAAACACACUCAUGUAAGUAAAUUCUAUUAGAAAAACAUGUUCUUCGGUGGUCAGAAUAUUCUGGGACUUUAGGUUAAAAUGUAUAAAUGUCAAAGUUGCAACUCAGGUUGCUAUUUUUUAUUUUUAACAGGCAUAUGCAUAGUCCUACUUCUUUUCAUUGAGUCAUUUUUGUUGGUUUAACUUUUAAAUAGUAUAUACAUUUUUCCUCUGGAACAGUUCUUGGCUAGUUUGACAGCCUUGGCAGUGUUUUCUGGGUGAGAAGUAGUUUAUAGCACUGCCUUUUAAUAGUGAGAACCAAAUGAACAGCAUAUCUAGGCAGUGAAUAAUCUUAGCACAUAGCACUCAAAUGACACGCAGUCUGAGGAAAAUGUGUAGGAGAAACUAAGUCUUACAGGGCUCCACAGCUCAGAGAUAAAAACAUAGAACAUUUGAGAUUGUACAAAACUUUCUAGUGUAUGGUGAUUAUUGAGUGUUUGUGAAUGGUUAUGUAGCAGAUGUGUAAAUAAAUGUAUCUUGUUGAGUAGAAGAUGUCACAGAAGAGAAUUCAUGAAAAUGAAAGCCACAGGCAUUGCAAAAAAUGAAAUGAUUUAACUCUUAUAUUUGUCUAUGGAUAGUAUUAUCAUAAUUAUACACAAUUAGAUCUGAUGUUCUGAAAUACUCUUCAAGAACAAUUUAAAACAUCACACUAGAUGUCCAGAGGUUAUCAACUAGAAGCCUGUUGACAGGUUAUUAGAAACACAUUGUUUGACAAUUUCUAUUUGAUUGGCUAUAGUCAGGAUACAUAUUCUCCCACCUGCUGUAGUUCUCACCAAUUGCUAUUGUAUUAAAUAAAACAUGUUUUAUUCAUUUAUUAAUAUCUUCUGCCUGGUCUGUGAAUACAGCUGAGUAUGUUUGGUUCAGUAACCUUGGCAUUUCAAUGUAAUGCCAUUUUAUUUGAUUUUUUAAUUCGUUUUUCCUCUAUAGAAACAAAUGUAUGUAAUUAGACUGACACAUAAUAUGAGCAGAGCUCCUUUGUCUCUUAAUUAGUAGUCUUUUCAGUUAAUAUAUCUUUGAAC